UGUGUUUGUAGACGUGGUCACACUUCUUCAGUAAGCCAGUUCAAGUUAUUUUUCACAUUUAGUUCUUUGAGCAACUAGUUGGCUGCUGAAGUAGCAACAGUGAACUCUACUCCCUCUGCUACUAUGUAUAACCGUGUGGUGGCCAUAUUGGACGACCUCUAGCCUUGUGUCAACUGCACUUUUGAACAACUGGUUGCAUUUCUAAAGUAGUGACACUCUUCUGGAAAGUUCCACGCAGCUGCAGACUCCUUGUGGCGACUGACGGCGUGCACAACAAACCCGCACAGCUGCUUCUCCAACACCUCCACCACUGCCGGGGCGUUUCCCUUCUUCCCCUGGCCCUCCAUCACCUGCCGGAUGCAGUCACGGGGCACCGGCUGGGGUUUGGUGCUGUACGACACCACCAGGUUGAUGUUGUUUACCUGGAGCACCUCGAACCAGUUCUGUCCCGCCACGUGAUGAAAGUGCUCCCCUGCUCUCCAGUUCCGGUAGGUGCUCCCUGAAUGGUUGAUUAGCCGCACUGACCAGCUGACCCAGUCAUACUUUUUCACCAAGAACUCAAGAAGCUGCUGAGUUGUAUCUUGCAGGUUCUCUUCUUCCUUUUCUUGCAGGAGGCGCUGGGCGUCUAAUUUUGCUUGCUCUGGGAAGGCAGCGAUACAGGACUCAAUGGUUGUCUUCAUCCUGGACUCUACUUCUUCAAUUUUGCUGUUCCACUCUUGGAUUUUGACGUCUUCUUCCUCUUGGCCCUGGGUCAAGGCACAAUGACCCAGCAGAGAAAUCAGGCCCAAACAGAAGAGCUCUUUCAUCCGGACACAGAAAUCUUCCAGGAGACGGCGGUUCCUUGCUACAUACCUGUAAAACAGACAAACCAUUUACAUUUAAGGAAUUUUUCUGAUGCUAAAAUCCAGAGAAACUUGCAAUGAUAAUGGUGUCAAAGACAUGAGAGCUGCAAUGAACCCAGAAACAUUUGAUGAAAUCCAACAAUUUACCUUUCGACCAACUCUAAAACCGACUCUCCAAAGCUGUUUGUCCCCAUCAGAGCAUCAUACAGCACAAAAAGGUUCUUCUCUCCUCCAGUUUUAGCAAAGUGCUCCAGGAAAAGUCUGGUCUUCACAUCCCUGAACUGCUGUUUUGCAUCUAAGAUGUCCAUAUAUUUCCGAAACUGGUUCCGAAUGUUCUCCUCCACUGAGAAGUACUGGGAAUCCAGUCUCCCCUUCUUGAUCUCGCAGUCGAUGUCUUCUAGUUGGCUGGAGAGCACAUCAAGCUUGUUCCUCACCGUCAGGAAUUGCUCUUUGACAUAAAAGACCUCUUUGCUCUGGACAUUGUCUAAGGCCAGACGGAGAACCGGAGCGGCAGCCUCACAGAGGGGGAAAAGCUCACCCACAGCACUGGCCAGCACCUCGGCCCCUCUCUCAAACAUAUCCAUCACUGCCUCGAUGGCCUCCUUCUUCUGGGCUACAACCCUCUCCAAUGAACUGGUCAUGUUCUGAGACUCAGGCACAAAAUCUGGUGUCAAAUAUAAAUAAACCUUUUGUGAGAAAGAUAUGAA